rnacentral:rRNA from 1 species
UACAGAGGGGGCAAGCGUUGUUCGGAAUUACUGGGCGUAAAGGGCGCGUAGGCGGCCUUCUAAGUCGAACGUGAAAUCCCCGGGCUCAACCCGGGAACUGCGUCCGGUACUGGAAGGCUUGAAUCCGGGAGAGGGAUGCGGAAUUCCAGGUGUAGCGGUGAAAUGCGUAGAUAUCUGGAGGAACACCGGUGGCGAAGGCGGCAUCCUGGACCGGCAUUGACGCUGAGGCGCGAAAGCCAGGGGAGCAAACGGG